GUUUUAACAGCAUCAUCUAUGAAAACAACAGGAGCAUCAAAUAACACUGAAGCACUGGAGGCCCCCAUCAGAAGCCAAACAGAUGUCACUGCCAUACUUCUUGUACAACUUGCCAAACCAGGAGCCUAAUAAAACUGACAGAAAAUGUCCUCCUGGAA